rnacentral:rRNA from 1 species
GACGGAGGGUGCAAGCGUUGUUCGGAUUGACUGGGCGUAAAGGGCGUGUAGGCGGUUGGUCAAGUCUGGUGUGAAAGCCCGGGGCUCAGCUCCGGAAGUGCAUCGGAAACUAGCCGACUGGAGCGCGAUAGAGGAGGGUGGAAUUCCUGGUGUAGCGGUGAAAUGCGUAGAGAUCCGGAGGAACACCGAAGGCGAAGGCAGUGUCCUGGCGAGUGACUGACGCUGAGGUGCGAAAGCCAGGGGAGCGAACGGG